UCGGACGUCUUCGGCGUUC
rnacentral:snRNA from 1 species